rnacentral:rRNA from 1 species
UACGGGGGGAGCAAGCGUUGUUCGGAUUUACUGGGCGUAAAGGGCGCGUAGGCGGCCACGACAGGUCACUUGUGAAAUCUCCGGGCUUAACUCGGAACGGUCAAGUGAUACUGUCGGGCUAGAGUGCAGAAGGGGCAACUGGAAUUCUCGGUGUAGCGGUGAAAUGCGUAGAUAUCGAGAGGAACACCGGUGGCGAAGGCGGCAUCCUGGACCGGCAUUGACGCUGAGGAGCGAAAGCCAGGGGAGCAAACGGG